rnacentral:rRNA from 1 species
CCCUUAGAGUUUGAUCCUGGCUCAGGAUGAACGCUAGCUACAGGCUUAACACAUGCAAGUCGAGGGGCAGCAUGAACUUAGCUUGCUAAGUUUGAUGGCGACCGGCGCACGGGUGAGUAACACGUAUCCAACCUUCCGUUUACUCAGGGAUAGCCUUUCGAAAGAAAGAUUAAUACCUGAUAGUAUGGUGAGAUUGCAUGAUAACACCAUUAAAGAUUUAUUGGUAAACGAUGGGGAUGCGUUCCAUUAGGUAGUAGGCGGGGUAACGGCCCACCUAGCCUGCGAUGGAUAGGGGUUCUGAGAGGAAGGUCCCCCACAUUGGAACUGAGACACGGUCCAAACUCCUACGGGAGGCAGCAGUGAGGAAUAUUGGUCAAUGGGCGAGAGCCUGAACCAGCCAAGUAGCGUGAAGGAUGAAGGUCCUACGGAUUGUAAACUUCUUUUAUACGGGAAUAAAGUUUCCUACGUGUAGGAUUUUGUAUGUACCGUAUGAAUAAGCAUCGGCUAACUCCGUGCCAGCAGCCGCGGUAAUACGGAGGAUGCGAGCGUUAUCCGGAUUUAUUGGGUUUAAAGGGAGCGCAGACGGGAGAUUAAGUCAGUUGUGAAAGUUUGCGGCUCAACCGUAAAAUUGCAGUUGAUACUGGUUUCCUUGAGUGCAGUUGAGGCAGGCGGAAUUCGUGGUGUAGCGGUGAAAUGCUUAGAUAUCACGAAGAACCCCGAUUGCGAAGGCAGCUUGCUAAACUGUAACUGACGUUCAUGCUCGAAAGUGUGGGUAUCAAACAGGAUUAGAUACCCUGGUAGUCCACACGGUAAACGAUGGAUACUCGCUGUUGGCGAUAUACUGUCAGCGGCCAAGCGAAAGCAUUAAGUAUCCCACCUGGGGAGUACGCCGGCAACGGUGAA